rnacentral:rRNA from 1 species
ACUUACCUACGGGGGGCAGCAGUGGGGAAUAUUGCACAAUGGGGGGAACCCUGAUGCAGCGACGCCGCGUGGGCGAGGAAGUAUUUCGGUAUGUAAAGCCCUAUCGGCAGGGAAGAAGAAAUGACGGUACCUGAAUAAGAAGCACCGGCUAAAUACGUGCCAGCAGCCGCGGUAAUACGUAUGGUGCAAGCGUUAUCCGGAUUUACUGGGCGUAAAGGGGGCGCAGACGGCAGCGCAAGCCAGGAGUGAAAGCCCGGGGCCCAACCCCGGGACUGCUCUUGGAACUGCGCGGCUGGAGUGCAGGG